AUUGAACGCUGGCGGCAGGCCUAACACAUGCAAGUCGAGCGGAGCGGCGGACGGGUGAGUAAUGUCUGGGAAACUGCCUGGUAGUGGGGGAUAACUUCCGGAAACGGGCGCUAAUACCGCAUACUAUCAGAUGAGCCUAGGUCGGAUUAGCGAGUUUGUGGGGUAAAGGCCUACCAAGGCGACGAUGCGUAACUGGGCUGAGAGGAUUAUCAGGCAGACUGGAACUGAGACACGUGCGAUACUCCUACGGGAGGCAGCAGUGGGGAAGAUGGGACAAUGGGCGAAAGCCUGAUCCAGCCAUGCCGCGUGUGUGAAGAAGGUCUUCGGAUUGUAAAGCACUUUAAGCUGGGAGGCGUUACCAACAGAAGAAGCACCGGCUAACUUCGUGCCAGCCGCCGCGGUAAUUC
rnacentral:rRNA from 1 species